UCUCUCUUUUCUGUCCAAGAUUACAUUCCUUCUUAGAGAUAGAAUGGUAUCUGUGAGGAUUUCCAGUCAGGAUUUAGACUGUAUCAUAGUACUGAGAAUGCUCUCCUUAGAGUUAAAAAUGACCUGCUCUUAUCAUCUAAUCGUGGUUGUAUCUCUCUAAUAGUUCUACACUGUAAGCAAUUGCUGUAAAUUUACAGCUGAUUUUCAACACUAAAAUACUGUUUUCAUGUUAAACAGUUUAGUACUGUAGUUCGCAAUGCAUUGUGGGCUCCUUAAACCGGAACAACAAGACAGAGGCCCUAAACAGUAUGCUGAUGUUUUAAAUUACAGUACAAUACAGUAUUUUUUUGAAACUGCGUAUUGACUGGGGAAUUUGGAGCAUGGUCAGAAGCUUGUUACAACGUUAAUAUAUUUAAAUUGAGGCUACUGCUUUUGGUCAACUUUAAGAAAUACAGAAAUAAUUUGCCAUUAACUCCUGGAGGGACUUCGGGAACCAUCAUUUGGAUAGGAGAUUGUCCAGAACAGGAUACACAAUUUAGAUGACGUGCUGCACAUCGUUGAGUGUUCUUCAUCAACAACCAUCUGGUCUUGCAACUACAAAUUAAACGGUGUCUGCCACUGCAGCUGACGUUAAGACAACUCUCAGUCUUCCUGCAAGUCCUCGCCUGAUACUGCCUGGUGCAACAGGGCAAAUCACAAUUAUGGGUUGGGUGAUCACCUUUGAGGGCCUUGUAAUCUCUGAGGGCAUCACACCAACAUUUGCAACAGGACUUGUUGAUAUGUUUGCAAUCUACUACAUUUUCAACCUUCAGUAUCAAUAAGAGGCAGCCUGCAACUCUGGAAUUCAUUCAAAGUGGAAGUACUGGAAUAAUGCUGCACAGAGGAACAGCAACUAUCAAAGUGAUGGUCAUCUCUCCUGGAUCAACAAAUAAGAUGUAAAAACACAAGCCUCAUAGGACAAUUUUAAGAGGUAACCUGCAAGUCUAGCUUGCAGUGGCACAGUUGCCUACCUUACUGUUUCAUUUUUAAAUGUAUUUAUUGAUGCAUAUUUUUGAUUCAUCCUGCUAAAAUGUUCUAGUUUCAAAAUGGCCAUUUUCAAAAUGUUCUUAAGUAUGUUUUCAAAAUGUUGCCAAUUAUGCAUAUGUUCAAAUGUUAUUAUGAAAGUAUAUUUUUACAGACAGCAGAGAAUAUAUUGCAUAUAUGUAUAUAUACAUAUAUACAUAUUUUAA